CUGGAGCGGGGGCCGGGGCGUGGGAGGUCACCGGCCAGGACCCUGGCGUGCCCGCGGACAGCAGCAGAAGCCAGAGCAGAGCCACCAGCCAGCCUCGGCCUUGGGGCGCCGGCGCCUCUGUACCCAUCAUGGGGGCCGCUGACCCCGGCCUGACCUGACUGACCUGACCCUGUGCCCUGACCCCGUCCUGAUCCCAGACCCUGCCCCUGGCCCCACCCCACCGCCUUCCACACCCCAGCACCAUCUCCUCCUAACUCUGGGUACUGACCCUGCCCAGACCACAGACCAGCCUGGACCCAGGCCUGGACUCCUCUCCACACCUGGUCCUGACCCUCAGGGCUGCCCUCUUGCCCAGCUGCUCCCGGCAUGACCCAACCUCAAUACAAUCAAGUUGCUCCUCCAACUCAAGAGGAAAGACAGUAGACUCCUUAUAGAAAAGUGGGAAAUGUGUGAGCAGACAACUGGCCUCGAGAAUGCAGGACCACACGCUCCCAGGAGAUGAGGCCGGACCACAUCCACAAACACCUGCCAAGGACUCCAGUGAGUCUGUCAGGAUGCCCUGGAUGUGGAGCCUGCUGCCUGGAUGCUGGGUGUCCAACCCGCAGCUCCCUUUCCAUCCCCGCAGCUCCCUCUCCAUCCCCGCACCUCCUCCCUAAAUCCUCCCUUUUUGCCUGGACAGGGUCCACUGUCUUCUCUGGUUGCCAGCUUCCUGAAUAAAGUGACCUCUCUCUUUCCACUA